rnacentral:sRNA from 1 species
GCCAAGUGUGGUGGUGCACGCCUGUAAUCUCAGCUACUGGGGAGGCAGAGCCAGGAGGAUCAAAAGUUUGAGGUCAGCCUGGGCAACUUAGUGAUACUCUGUCUCUA